UUGCAGUGUUACGAGAUGACUUCCGCUUAGUGCCAAAAGAUAAAGUGGCUCUUGUAGGUGGACCAGUAGUACUUAAUUGCACACCUCCACGAGGAACCCCAGAAGCUUCAGUACUUUGGUACAUGAAUGGGAAAUUACUCGAUUUGAGUGGAAAAAGGUAAGAAAAUAU